rnacentral:rRNA from 1 species
AACCGAGAGGCCGGUAGUAUCGGCGAGAGAACCCGGCGUUGGCUUGAGACAUGGUUCUGUGUUGAAGGUGGGGGAAACCACAACCAGAGAAGGUUUGAGUCCUGUAGAAUGCAAGAACCAUGUUGAACAAGUACCACCAUCUGGUGGGAAGAUAGGAGAACCACCUUCUAAGCCACACCUACGAUUUUGAAAACCAUAGUGCACAAGUACUGUGAAGGAAAGGUGAAAAGAACCCUAAUGCGGGGAGUGAAAAGAACUGAACCAAGACACCGACAAACAAUCGAUGGCGGUUCCUUAUCACGGGAAUGCGCUACCGGUGUACCUUUUGCAUAAUGGGUCAGCGACUAAAUGACGUAUGCCUGCGUAAGCCAAGAGGUGGACGCAAAGCAAAAGCAAGUGGGCACGCCGCGAACGGUCUGCGUCAUUUGACCCGAAACUG